rnacentral:tRNA from 1 species
GGUAGGAUGGCUGAGCAAAAGGCGGGAGGCUGUAAACCCCCUUACGGAGAUCUAAUCUUCUCCUAUCA